UGGGGAAUUUUGGACAAUGGACGCAAGUCUGAUCCAGCCAUGCCGCGUGCGGGAAGAAGGCCUUCGGGUUGUAAACCGCUUUUGUCAGGGAAGAAACGAGUUUCUCUAAUACAGAGACUUAAUGACGGUACCUGAAGAAUAAGCACCGGCUAACUACGUGCCAGCAGCCGCGGUAAUACGUAGGGUGCGAGCGUUAAUCGGAAUUACUGGGCGUAAAGCGUGCGCAGGCGGUGAUGUAAGACAGAUGUGAAAUCCCCGGGCUCAACCUGGGACCUGCAUUUGUGACUGUAUAGCUAGAGUACGGUAGAGGGGGAUGGAAUUCCGCGUGUAGCAGUGAAAUGCGUAGAUAUGCGGAGGAACACCGAUGGCGAAGGCAAUCCCCUGGACCUGUACUGACGCUCAUGCACGAAAGCGUGGGGAGCAAACA
rnacentral:rRNA from 1 species